rnacentral:rRNA from 1 species
AUUGAACGCUGGCGGCAGGCCUAACACAUGCAAGUCGAACGAGUGGCGGACGGGUGAGUAAUGUCUGGGAAACUGCCUGCUGGCGGUGGCUAACUACUGAAAACGGUAGCUAAUACCGCAUACCAUCGGAUGUGCCCAGAUGGGAUUAGCUAGUAGGUGGGGUACCGGCUCACCUAGGCGACGAUCCCUAGCUGGUCUGAGAGGAUCACCAGCCAAACUGGAAUGAGGACACGGUCCAGAUACCAACGGAAGGCAGCAGUGGGGAAUAUGGAAAAUGGGGCGAAAGCCGGAGACAGCCAGGCCGGGGGGAUGAAGAAGGCUUUGGGGUUGUAAAGUACGUUCAGCGGGGAGGCGGUACCCGAAGAAGAAGGAACGGCUAACUCCGUGCCAGCAGCCGCGGUAAUUC